rnacentral:rRNA from 1 species
CUGGCUCAGGAUGAACGCUAGCUACAGGCUUAACACAUGCAAGUCGAGGGGCAGCGAUGAAGAAAGCUUGCUUUCUUCAGGCGGCGACCGGCGCACGGGUGAGUAACGCGUAUCGAACCUGCCUCAUACUCGGGAAUAGCCUUGCGAAAGUAAGAUUAAUGCCCGAUGUUAUUAGGAUAUCACAUGAUGUUUUAAUUAAAGAUUUAUCGGUAUGAGAUGGCGAUGCGUCCCAUUAGCUUGUUGGCGGGGUAACGGCCCACCAAGGCAUCGAUGGGUAGGGGUUCUGAGAGGAAGGUCCCCCACAUUGGAACUGAGACACGGUCCAAACUCCUACGGGAGGCAGCAGUGAGGAAUAUUGGUCAAUGGACGCAAGUCUGAACCAGCCAAGUAGCGUGCAGGAAGACGGCCCUCUGGGUUGUAAACUGCUUUUAGUUGGGAAUAAAGUGCACCACGUGUGGUGUUUUGUAUGUACCAUCAGAAAAAGGACCGGCUAAUUCCGUGCCAGCAGCCGCGGUAAUACGGAAGGUCCAGGCGUUAUCCGGAUUUAUUGGGUUUAAAGGGAGCGCAGGCGGACCUUUAAGUCAGCUGUGAAAUACGGCGGCUCAACCGUCGAACUGCAGUUGAUACUGGAGGUCUUGAGUGCACACAGGGAUACUGGAAUUCAUGGUGUAGCGGUGAAAUGCUCAGAUAUCAUGAAGAACUCCGAUCGCGAAGGCAGGUAUCCGGGGUGCAACUGACGCUGAGGCUCGAAAGUGCGGGUAUCAAACAGGAUUAGAUACCCUGGUAGUCCGCACAGUAAACGAUGAAUACUCGCGAUUUGCGAUACACAGUAAGUCGCCAAGCGAAAGCGUUAAGUAUUCCACCUGGGGAGUACGCCGGCAACGGUGAAACUCAAAGGAAUUGACGGGGGCCCG